GAGCUGCCUGCAUCUGUGGUGAAGUGUGCACAGAGAAAUUCCCAGUGGCUGCACAGUAAUGAACGCCUAGGUCUUGGCUUGUAGUUUUAUUAAUGGAAACAGUUCAAAUGAAAUUACAGCUAUUAUGCUGCAUUAAUAUUCUGGCUUUGUGGAUGGGUAUAUUGCAACGUAUUCAGCACAAGACUAACUUCUGCCAUUCCUUUUUUAACUUGGAUUGCCACAUGCACAAAAAUAAGAUAGACUUGGAAGAUUUUAACACAUGUAAUACAUAUAAG